UCUCUCUCUCUCUCUCUCUCUCUCUCUCUCUCUCUCUCUCUCUCUCCUCCGGAUCGGAGCUCAACGCCGGCGACCAUAACCGGCAGGAGACUUCGUCGUUAGAGUCGCCUGCGAGCAUAGCUCGCCGAUCCGCCACGAACUGUCACAUCCCGUGUCACAUCCCGACCCUUAUAUUUUUACCUUAUUUACUAGCGUGAUUAUAAUAAGAAUUUUACCGUCUCGAUCAUUGAGUAAAUAGUUUAAUUGGUCCCUAGAGGGGUUUCGGGGACGAUUAUGUGUGGAGGAUUAUUAGUCUGAGGAAAAUACGACGACGGUAAAAAUGGUAAAUUUUAGCUAGUAAAAGGUAAUUUUUUAUUCGGGUAUUAUUUUUUCGGGGUGUUUUUUUUAUUUUUGGAAUUGGGUUGAUAUAGGUUGGACCGGUGGAGGCCCAACCCAUUUCUUUUUCCUCCUCCCUUUCUCUUCUUCCCUCUUUUCUUUUCCUCUCCCCGAGCCUCCCGCUGCCCGGUUUUCCGGCCGUCCUCCCACCGCCGUCCGGCCACCAACCGCCGCCAAACCGGUCCCGUUCGGUCGGUCUCCCUCCCAGCAACAUUUUUAGACCGGUGACAGCCUCCCUAGCGCCGUCGUGAAGGAGAAACGCCGCCCGAAAGCUCCGACUGCCGAAUCGGUUUUCUCGCCGGAACUCCCUCCUCCGGCUGCCAUAUCCGGCGAGCCUUAGCCCAAAAGGAAGCCCUCCUCCCGUGCUUCAAUCCCUCCAAAGGGCUCGCUCCGUCGUGAGCUAGGUAAGGAGAAAUGGGAACUUGAAAUUUCUAGGGCUUUUUGUGUAUUUGUGUUCGAUUGAUGUGCUUAGGCUUAGAAUUGGAGUUUGUGGUAGUUAGGAAUGUUGUAGAGGAGGUUGAGAGGAAGAUGCUGCCAAAAUUUGGUAGCAUUUGCAGGUCGCCGGAAAACGGCUGCCGGCCGCCGCUGUCGGCGGAGCCGUCGCCGGUUAGGAGAUUUUUAGGGUUUUAAAUGUGGAAUAUUAAGAGGAGUAAAUUGGUGUGAUUUAUGGAAUUUUUGGAUGAGAUUUGGAUAGGUUUGUGAAUUUCCAAAGUUUGGUAUUUUUGGCGGUUAAUUAAUGUAGAAUCCGGCCGUAGGAUUUAAGUCGUAUUUUGGAGAGGUUUUAUUUACGACUGUUGAGUAUGAUAUUUAAGUUCGGAUCGUUCCGAUGUAAGAAUAUCGAAGUUAGGCAAUGAUGAGCGUAAUUAUGGCUCUCGGGUAAUUUUGCCUAUUGUGAUUAAAUAUUGGAUUAUUUGGUU
rnacentral:lncRNA from 1 species